UACGGAGGGUGCAAGCGUUGUCCGGAAUCACUGGGCGUAAAGCGCGCGUAGGCGGCCAGAUAAGUGGGGUGUUAAAUCUCCCGGCUCAACCGGGAACCUGCACCUCAUACUGCCUGGCUUGAGUACAGCAGAGGAGACUGGAAUUCCCGGUGUAGCGGUGAAAUGCGCAGAUAUUAGGAGGAACACCGGUGGCGAAGGCGCUGCGCUGGGCCGAUACUGACGCUGAGGAGCGAAAGCGUGGGUAGCAAACAGG
rnacentral:rRNA from 1 species